CCCAGACACAGCUGGGCAGGGGAGAGGUCGGACCUUACUCACCCACGCCGGAUUCCCAAAGAGGAAGUUCUCUGGGAAUCUCCUGCUUUUAACCCCCGUGUGUUCUCAGAGGCGUAUCCAGACCCUUAGUGGCUACAUCAAAUGCCAAUUUUGAAUUUGGCCCCUGAUUGGCCGGACUUAGACUUUUCUAGAAACACAUUUCCAGCCAAACCACGACAUCUUUCUUUUGCAGUUCACAUUUCAGUAAGAGCAGAGCUCCAGAAAAGCAGAGCAGUGAGUGCAGCUGGAGUCACAGUAACCAUUUCUCCAAAUUUUGAGAGCUACUGAAAGAGCAGUGAAACUAAAACCUUUACUCUUGCUGUCUUGCUGAGGGGGGCAUACCUGAAACAUCUGUCAAGCACUCAGCCUUCACAAGCCCCAAAUCACUAAGUUUUAAAGAUGAAUUGUUUUGGUAGUCCUCAAUGGUCAGUGUCCAACCUUGUACUUGGAGACUUAGUAUCUCUGUCUUACAAAUUCUAUUUGUAAGUAUUGCUACCUUGAAACUAAAAAUCUUAGAAUAAAGCAAUCUAAAAAACCAUAAAACCACUCAUGCAAUUAGGCAUCAAUCAGCUGAGAUGGAUGGUUCAGACAGCUGUCAGAGCCUAUGAAAUCCACCUCCCAACACCUGAAAGAGGGCACUAGUCACAGCAAUCAGAACAAGAGCAGUGGCAAUGAUCUCCAAACAAUGGAAAUCCCUGCUCAAUGAAACCUCUGGCUGCAGCUGGCCAGUAGCAGUGCAACAAUAAAAGCACCACACCAAAGAGACUGAAGGCAGGUGUGAAAGUGACAUCAACAGCAAAAGAACUUCAGGACAGAUGUAUGUAUCUCAUCAUGGAAGAGCAGUAAACUGAAGUCUGAGAGGCUUUUCCACUUUCUUCUUUAGAUAUUUCUACAGAGAAUAUCUGAAGGAAAACAAGCAAAACCAGAACUGAAAGUCAGAAUUGUCUAAUCCAGGUAUUGCCUCUUACACCACUUGAACAAUUUAUUUAAAUAAAAAAUGCUGAAGUUAAUUCAGCUAAAUUGUGAGGACAACUGCUAAAAAUAUACUGAAAAAAUGCACUAUUCUAUGUGUUUAGUUUUCAGAAGUAUUACUCCUUAUUAUCAUAUUCCUAUGGAGCUCUUUUUGUGCCAUUAUUUCUUCCUAUUGCCAUCAUAACAACGCUGUCCAAAAAAGCAAAUAUAAGUCUUCACACCAGUGGGUAGGAAAACGUGAAGCAGGAGAAUUUUUUUCAACUAUGUGGACUCUAAUUCACAUGGAGACAAUCCAGACAUAUGUAUCUAACACCUCAGGAUAUGUACUUUACAUUACAAGUAAUGCUUAGCCAAGCAUCCAAAACCACAAAAAAGAUUUUAAUGAAGGACAGUAUCAAUUUGCCUCUAGCAUAUCUCUAAUUUGAGUAUAACUUGGACUGUCUUGUGGGAAUUCUGCUUGUUUGAAUAAAAUCUGAAUUUGCCUUGCCUGCAUAAAGAUAUUGCUUAAAGGAAAAACAGCUGCAUUAUAUAAUAUCAAACAGCUUAAUGACUACAUCUAAUUAUAUUAAAGACUGAACUACUGGAAGCAAUGGAAACACUUAUUGGAUUAUAAACAUGAAAGCAAAUGGGAAGCAGCAAGUUUAACAUAGACUAUGCUAUAAAUGCCCUUGAAAAAUCUAUGUCCUUGCCUUUCCAAUAACAAGCUACAUUUUGUAGGUCAUACUGUAAACCAUACUUGGAAAAAAGCUCUCUGGGUGAAGUUAUGAGAAUUGCCUAUAGUGACUGUUACUGUCUUUAACAUCAGCAUUGCCUAUUUCUGGAAAAAAAAAAAUUAAAAAAAAUAGAAGAACUUUGCAAUUCAUCUUUAUUUUCUUCCAAGCACAGAAAGGAAAUGUUGCCUCAGUUUCCGGAAAUACAACCUGAAAUAUCCAGCUUUUCACAAGAGAGAUUAGAACAUGGGUCUUUACAAAAUGAAAUCGGAAUCAUAAAGAUUUGACACUUCAGAUAUGAAGAUUCAACCAAACUAUCAAGUGGGUUGAAUUUUUUGCCAGACUAAGCACUGCACUUGCAUGAUGGGAGAUGCAGCCAUCUUCAAUUCAGCAGCUGCAGCAGUGUGGGCAGAAAUACCUCAGGACAUAAUAGAGAAUGAAAGCCUGAAGGCUUGCAAUACCUGACAAUUUAGAAGAGCUUUAAUUCAAAGAGAAGUAACUGAAAAAAGAAGAAAGAUGAAAAUUAUUUAUUUUCUUAUUCCUUUUCAUUUUCAAUUCUCCUUUCUUAGAAUUCCUUCUGCCAACAAAACCUGGUUAAUGUGUGCUAAUAUGUGACCCAUGUCUAGUAAUAGCUGGAAUUGGAGUUUGAUACAGGAUGAUUUACUGUAUGUUGGCUUUCCGGGGAUGUCCUUCAAAGGUAGUGAAAGAUGGUCAUCCAUUGGAGACCAUAAGCUGAUAUAUAUCAACUGAUACUGGCAUACAGCAGUAUGCCUGGGGGUCAGGAUGCCAUCCAGAGGAACCUGGACAAGCUCAGGAAUUUGGCCCAUGGUAAUCUCCUCAGGUCCAACAAAGCCAAGUGCAAGGUCCUGCCUCUGGUGUUGUUACAGACUGAUGGAUAAACAGAUUGAGAGCAGCCCUGCUGAGAAGGAUUUGGGGGUGCUGGUGGGUGAGAGGCUGGACAUGGCCCAGCCAGCAAUGGUCACUCACAGCCCACAGAGCCAAACAUGUCCUGGGCUGCAUCCAGAGCAGUGUGGGCAGCAGGGUGAGGGAGGGGAUUCUGCCCCUCUGCUCUGCUCUGCUCUGGUGAGAGCCCACUCAGACUGCUACAACCAGGUCUGGGAACCCCAAAACAGGACAGACCUGUUUGAGUGGGUCCAAAAGAGAGCCAUGAAGAUUAUCAGAGGGCUGGAAUACCUUGCCUAUGAGGAAGGGCUGAGAGAAUUUGAGUUGUUCAUCUUGAACAAGGGAAGCGUGGAAGAACCUUAUUGUGGCCUUUCAGUCUUAAAGGGAGCCUAAGAAAGAUGGGGAUACAGACUUAGCAGAACCUGCUGUGGCAGGGCAAGGCAUAAUGGUUUAAACUGAAGGAGCGUUGAUUUAGAUUAUCUGUAAGGAAGAAGUGUGGAGGUUUUUUUUCAAAAUGAAGGUGGUAAAGCACUGGCAUAGGUUGCCCAGAGAUGUGGUAAAAUAUGAGAAUAUUCCAAUCAGAUGAGUUGGGUCUCUGACCAACCUGAAUCUAGUUGAAGAUGUCCCUGCUCAUUGCAAGGGCUUUGGAUUAAAUGACUUUAAAAGUUCCUUCCAACACAUUCUAGGAUUCUAGGUAGUGAAAACACAACCUACAGCAUGAAAAUAUUCUGCACUGGAAUUUGGGGAAAAAACCCAGCAAAGAUAAAUUGAAAGUUUUCUUUUUUUUUAAUUUAAUUGUCUAAUGAUCAUUCAUUCUAUAUAAUUUUUCUAGAUUUUUUUUUAUUACUGGCAUUUAGGGUCAUGAAGAGUUUGUUAAAAGCACUUGCAGAUUGCACUGGUUCAGUUUAUUUCUGUAUAUUCUUCAUGCGUGGUCCCAACAUUUGUUCAUUGAUCAGUGUAGUCUAUGCAUACCCCAUACAUUUCCUUUGCUUUAUUUCUGUCACAGCAGCCAUUCCUUCCUGCACAAGAUAAUAAGUUUAGUGAAAAGAAGCUCUGGGCUUACUUGUUGCCUGAAGUUACUUGCAUGAUAUUAUCUUACAGCAUAAAGGGCAUCUAAGGCUAAGAUCAGGCUAGGCAGCAAAGGCAGCUCCUGCUUCUUCAGGCUCCUGACCUGAGCACAGAUUUGUGCCCAGGAAGUUCAACCCUAACCAAGCAUGAAUUCAAGUUCCACUGUGUGCCUGUACUCAAAGAACUCUAUAGACAUCAUCUGCUCUAGAUGGCUGAGUAUUGCAAUCUAUAUGGCUUGUAUGCUAGGCUGCAUCAUUAAAAAGUUUAUAUUUGUCUCUGUAAUUUACUCUCAUUAUGUGUAACAUGGAAGAACAAAUGAAGAAGUAUAACUGUUCUGACAGAUAGCUACUUUGCCAGUGAAGAAUUUGGUAUAUCAAGUGAUCUAAACAUUUAUUUAAGUUGACAACAGACAUUGUCAGCUAUUUCAGAGAUAAACCUCUAGAAUGAUGUGUGCAGGGACUUUGUACUGGAAAGUAAUUUUUUCAUGGAUUUAAGGAUAUUCUCUUUGUAAGUGAAUUUGGAGAAUGGGCAUAAUGUUACAGUCACUGUGAUAGCUGAAUGUAGCUGAGAACUUAUGUCUUAUAAUUAAUAAGUUAGAAUAUUGAUUUAUUUCUUUUAAAAUUUUAACAGAAUCUGUUUCCAUUUGUUCUAUGGCAGUGAGUUUCACAAGCUGAAUAUGAAUAUGUUGAUAUGUGCACUAUUUACAUGCAGCCUAAUAAAUAUGUAGCCUUUGAAUAUUUCCUUGUUUCUAUAUUAUAAAAGAUAAAUAGCACUGCUUAAUUAACAUUGUUUUUGGGAUUAAGUAAAUGCAGGAGUUUUACACUUUAUUUUACUUUCUUCAGGACUAGUUCCUUUGUCCAAACAACUACUAAGUAGGUAAAUUGACACAAAAUUUAAUGGCAACUUUUAAUUCUGUGUAUAACAUCCUAAGAAACCAACUCAAGGCAAACCAGAACUGUUUAAAAGCUCACUUGACAACAUAGUCAUUCAAUUUCUUGCUCCUAGUAUGAUGUCCACUCUUGGGAAACUGUUUCUAAUUUCCUUUGUUUAGGUGAAAACAGUGAAAUUUUAAUCACCAAUUAUCUCAGGUGACUGGGAAAAGGGAACCAUUAACCCAUCUUAAAAAGGGUAGAAAGGAGGACCCUGGGAACUGCUGACCUGUCAGCCUCACCUCUGUGCCUGGGAAAAUCAUGGAAAAGAUCCUCCUAGCAGCUCUGCUAAGGCACACAGAGGACAGGGAGGUGAUUUGAGAGAGACAGCAUAGCUUCACCAAGGGCAAGCCUUGCCUGGCCAGCCCAGCGACCUCCUAUGAUGGAGUGACUGCAUCAGUGGACAAGAGAAGGGCUACAGAUGUCAUUUAUCUGUACUUCUGUAAAGCCUUUGUUAUAAUCCCCCUCAACAUCCUGCCCUUUAAAUAGGAGAAAGAGGGAUUUGAUGGGUGUUAGAUACUGUUAGAUGGAUGAGGAACUGGUUGGACAGCCACAUCCAGAGGGCAGUGGUCAACAGCUUGGAGUCCCAAUGGAUAUCAGUGACAGCUGGUGUCCCUCAGCAGUCAGUAUUGAGACAGUGCUAUUUAAUAUCUUUAUUAAUGGCACAGACAAAAGGAUGGAGUGCACCCUCAGAAAAUUUGCAGAAGACAACAAGCUUCCACACCUGUGGGUGACAAACCUGAAGGAUGGGAUCCAUCCAGUGGGAUUUGAGAAGCAGCCCAUGGGAAUCUCAUGAGGUUUAAUAAAUGAUGGUGCUGUACAUGGGUUAGGGCAACAACUGGUGUCAAUCCAGGAUGGGGGAUGAACAGAUUGAGAGCAGCCCUGCUGAGUGGGACUGGGAGUGCUGGUGGAUGAGAGGUUGGACAUGACCAGUAAUGUGUGCUUGCAACUCAGAAAGCCAAAUAUGUCCUUGGCUGCAUCAAAAGCAACUUUGGGAUCAGGCUGAGGGAGGGUAUUCUAGUCCUCUACUCCAUUCUCCCAGCUGGAGACCCCACCUACAGUGCUUCAGCCAGGUCAGGGGUCCCCAACACAGGAAGCACAUUGGUGUGUUGGGAGUGAGUCCAGAGGAGGGACAACAAGUUGAUUAGAGGGAUUAAACACCUCUCCUAUGAGGAAAGGGUGAGAGAACUGGAGUUUUCCAUCCUGGAAAAGAAGGUUUUGGGGUGUUCUUGUCGACAACUUCCAGGAUCUGAGGGGAACUCACUAGGAAGAUGAAGAGAGAUGUUUUACAAGGGCCUGUAAUGAGAGGACAAAUGGGAAUGGCUUCAAACUGAAAGAGAGUUGCUUUAGAUUAGAUAUUAGGACAAAUUUUUAUUGUGAGGGUGGUGAGGAACUGAAACACAUUGGUGGAACAGAGAAGUUGUGUAUGCCUCAUCCCUGAAAGUGCACAAGGCCAGGCUGGAUGGAGCUCUAAGCAACCUGGUCUAGUGGGUAGCAUCUCUGCCCAGGGCAAGGGGGGUGGAACUAGAUGGCCUUUAGGGUCCCUUCCAACCAAAGACAUGCUUCUGUUAUUCUGUGAUUCUAACCAUCAAAAAUAUAAAAGCAGACUGUUUCCAAAACAGUGCAAAAACUUCUGAUUUUCAUGUUAUUUUUGUAACUAACUAUAUGUGAUAUUCUUUCAGCUAUUUUAGAUACUGCAAAAACAUAAAAGCAAACUGUUUCCAAAACAGAGCAAGGAUUUCUAUCUCCAGUGAGGACUUUCCACCUGUUUCUAUCAUGUCUGAAAAUAAUUGAUUAACCAAUGUGAUAUAAAUUUGGACUGAAUCAAACAGGAUAAUUCUGUAAGAAAUGUAUGUGUGCAUCCAGAAGAAAGUAAUUACACAAAUGCAAUUGAACAAUCUCCUGAACCAGUCAGAAUUUUGCAGCUUAUCUUUAAUUUGUUUUGCUUUCUAUACCAACUAUUGUAUUUCAAAGUAGGAGAUGACAGGUUGUUAUCUCAAAUUCCCUCAAAUAAGCUUCUAAAUUGGGAUACACUGGUUUCUCCCUACAGGAAUCCAUUUGGUCUAAUUGAUCUAUGACUCAGUGAACUUUAUAUUGACAUGGGAAAUACAGAAUAUUCAUGACCUUGUCUAUAAGAAUAGCAAAAGGAGUUACAGAAUGGUGUUUACAAAUCAACUGGACAGCUAAUAAUACAAUGUUGUUUUUCUCUUUCUGCUUGGUGUUUAUUCCUGAUGAGUUUUCUGUUAAACCCUAAUGGCUUGCCAAGGAAACUUAGAAAUAAAGUAACAAAUAUCAACCAUUAAAAUGAGGUGAACAAAAAUGGCAAGUAUUUUAAGGUGCAUUUUAUUCUUUUCUUAAGUAUUUGUGUCAGAGCAAAAUGACUUAGUGUUUGUGCAAAAAUUAGCUUCAGCAUAUACUAUGAAAAUAGUUAGUCCUGUCUAUUUCUCCUGAAAGCGAAAACAGUAUUUAUGUUACAGGAUGUGAUUACUUUAACAAAUAUGUUCACUAUCUAAAUGGAAAGAUCCAUCCUUUCUUUCACAAAACAGAUACAUAAAAAUUGACCUAAAAAGAUUUAAUAUUUUAUGUUUUCUCAUUUUGUUUUACUUUCCACAGUCAGUGUAGGAAAUUUUCCACUGUUGUACAUACCUAAUUCAAGCUCUGGCCUUCCAGUUAUGUAAAAAAAAUUGAAGGGUUCAAUCAUAUUGUCAUAAUAUCUGCAUUAAAGACUACAUUUAACUCCUUAGUUUUGAGAUCUGGAGGAUGUUCUUCAAGUAUUUAAUUAAAGAUGUCUUAUUACAAUUUUUAUUUGGGACAGAAAAAUGAAGAAAUUAGCCACAAGAGAAAAAAAAAACCCUGGAAGGUGUAUGCUUAAGAAAUGCUCACAAAGAGGCACUGAAGCGAAGACAGAGGAAGAAUACACAAUUCACCUCUUUGACAAUUGUCUUUUGGGGUUUUCAGAUUUUCCCUCUCACAACCCUGUCCAAGAGCCUCUAGUACCAAAGCUGUGAGGGGUUUGCAGGGCCCUGCAGCCGUGGGGACACGACAGACGUGUGGGGAAUGACCGCCUCACAAGAACUUGCCAGGGAGCUGCAGAAGAAGGGUGGGAUCCCUGAGGGUGCCCAACACCAUGGCAUGGGUCCAAGGCAGUUCAGCAUCCUCAGCUGCUCACAGGCUGGGCGUGUGUGGAAAGCCCCACUGUGGGGUACCCGCCCUGGGGUCGGUGCCUCCUGCAGGGCGAAUGCUCUGCACACCACAGAGAAAGCAAAGCCUGCUUUGGGCCCAUGCUGCCUUGCCAUGGGGUGCACUGCACCAACUCAGAGGGCAACAGCAGUAAUGGCAAUGAGCAGAGCAGCUAUGCCUGCUGCAGUCAGCCUCAGAGGCAGGAUGGAGAAGCCAUCUGCUUAUGCAAGUUUUGUUGGAAGCAAAGUUUGAAUGCAUUUCAUAGUGGCAUCUAUCACAAUAUCUGUCAUAUCAUGGCCUCUCAUGCUUACUAGCAAAUCUCUGUAAAAAGAGCUCCAGCCUACAGUAAGCCAUCUUAGGAGACAAGACAGAUGCUUUAAAGAACAGCUAUUUGCCACUAGUUUAUGCUGACCUCACGUGCUGACAUUUAGAGACAGCUCAUACUGCUUUAUCUCCUGCUUCUCCGACUGUGCUGGAGGAAAAAACUGACCAUACAGAGACAACUUUCUGCAAUGUACUAAGUAUUGAUUUUUGAAGUGUAUCUGAAAGCAUUAAAAAUAACAAAAAAAAAUUUA